GGAGGGGUGGCAGAGUCUGGCUGAUUGCACUGGUCUUGAAAACCAGCAUGUCUUAUGGGCAUCGGGGGUUCGAAUCCCUCCCCCUCCGCAA
rnacentral:tRNA from 1 species